rnacentral:rRNA from 1 species
UGGGAAUAUUGCACAAUGGGCGGAAGCCUGAUGCAGCAACGCCGCGUGCGGGAUGACGGCCUUCGGGUUGUAAACCGCUUUCGCCUGUGACGAAGCGUGAGUGACGGUAAUGGGUAAAGAAGCACCGGCUAACUACGUGCCAGCAGCCGCGGUGAUACGUAGGGUGCGAGCGUUGUCCGGAUUUAUUGGGCGUAAAGGGCUCGUAGGUGGUUGAUCGCGUCGGAAGUGUAAUCUUGGGGCUUAACCCUGAGCGUGCUUUCGAUACGGGUUGACUUGAGGAAGGUAGGGGAGAAUGGAAUUCCUGGUGGAGCGGUGGAAUGCGCAGAUAUCAGGAGGAACACCAGUGGCGAAGGCGGUUCUCUGGGCCUUCCCUGACGCUGAGGAGCGAAAGCGUGGGGAGCGAACAGGCUUAGAUACCCUGGUAGUCCACGCUGUAAACGGUGGGUACUAGGUGUGGGGUCCAUUCCACGGGUUCCGUGCCGUAGCUAACGCUUUAAGUACCCCGCCUGGGGAGUACGGCCGCAAGGCUA